CCAGCUUAGUGGCAGAGCAUCUGCCUUUCAUGCAGAAGGUCUCAAGUUCAAUCCCCAGCAUAGGGG